UGGGGAAUAUUGCACAAUGGGGGAAACCCUGAUGCAGCGACGCCGCGUGAGCGAAGAAGUAUUUCGGUAUGUAAAGCUCUAUCAGCAGGGAAGAAGAAAGACGGUACCUGACUAAGAAGCCCCGGCUAACUACGUGCCAGCAGCCGCGGUAAUACGUAGGGGGCAAGCGUUAUCCGGAUUUACUGGGUGUAAAGGGAGCGCAGACGGCAUGGCAAGUCUGAAGUGAAAGGCAUGGGCUCAACCCGUGGACUGCUUUGGAAACUGUCAGGCUAGAGUGUCGGAGAGGCAAGUGGAAUUCCUAGUGUAGCGGUGAAAUGCGUAGAUAUUAGGAGGAACACCAGUGGCGAAGGCGGCUUGCUGAACGAUGACUGACGUUGAGGCUCGAAAGCGUGGGGAGCAAACA
rnacentral:rRNA from 1 species